rnacentral:lncRNA from 1 species
AUGGCUGACCUUGAGGAGUUGUGGGUUUCUUCACCAGCUCCCAGAACUUCCCUUUUCUUCCUCAUCUUCAAACACCUUUUAGCAUCUUUCCCACGCAACCAGUGAGUUUGGGCUGGCCAGUUCUGAGCAGGAACAAGGGCCAAAUGGUAGACCUGCUGGAGAAAGUGGAGAUGCAGAUCAGAGAUGCAGCAUUUUCAUUAACCAAAUUUCUUGAGGUCACAUCUGCAGUACCAGCUCAAGUGGAAUAGCUUGUCUUCCAAUGUACAGAAAAUGCAUGUUUCCUUAAAACCUGGCAGGACCUCUUGAAACAAGGCUAUGAUUCUUUGAAACCUGAUGACUGA